CCCCGCCGAGCCCCCCGCCCCGGCCCAGCAGCCCCCCGGCCGGGCCCCUUUUGGGAAGGGUCUCGGCGAAGUUGCCCCCCGACAUCGGCUUACUCCGCCCCAGGCUGAGGCGCCGGCGGGUGAAAACCGCCCAGUUUCACGAUUAUUGCUGCAUCCGCCCCGUCCCGAAUCCCGCCAUUCGGGGCUGCCCUGAAAAUCCCCGCCGAGGAGUGAGUUGCCCGAUGCUCAGAGUGCUGGAGGAGUUUCAUCCUUUGCUUUUAAAAAUACACCCAUGGCAUUGCUGAGGCAUGCAGAAGUUGAACCAGCUGAUGUGUGGCUGGUGAUAGUCAGCCUGCGGUUACAGUAUCUGCAUGCAGAAAAAAAAAAGCCACUGACAAUGUAUCUCCGGGUGUUUAUUUUGGCACAUGGCUGCAUUAUGUGGACCUGGCUGCACCUGUGCAGUUUUGAACAUCUGCCUGCUGAGAGCUCCUGUUGCUCUACUACCAGCUGCUGUUGCUCUUCGUCUCAGUCCCCCAGCUGUGUCCUGGAUCCCAGAUGCUCCCCACCCACUUAACUAAUAUUAUUAUUAAUACUAUUGCACAUCGAAGUUACAAAACAGUAACUCACUGAGAUACUUUGCUUAAAGAUUUUGGAGUUGAUUUGCAUACAUUGUACAUAAUUGUACAUACAAAGUAUGUACAGCAGUCCAGGAAAUCAUGUCCCAUGGCAGGUGGAGUAGGUAUUACCUAAUAAGAAAAAUAUUCUGGAAAUACUAAAGAAAGGUAACAACAAUUAAAGCUGUAGCUCAGGUUCCAGUCCAAGAUCCAUUUUCUCCCUUUAUCUCAAAGAACAAACUAUGUUAGUGCUAACUUCCAACAGAAAAGUCUGUGUUGUUCAUGGAGUAGUGGAAAUGAAGCUUGUUUUGCCAAGGAUCUGUCAUUUGUGUUAAACCUCACGUAGCACCAGCCGUUCCUCUGAUGCCCUCCACUGUGGUUCCCCAUUUCUUCCCCCUAACACUUCUAGCCAGGCAGGACUUAGUGCAUACUGUGGUUUGUAAGUAAGCAGAACUAGUAACAGGUUUAAAAGUUUCUGAGGGGCAGCAGGCAGACAAACCAAUCUCGUAAGCCUUCUUUCCUUAAGAAAUCAGGAUCAAACCAUGCAUUUGGCAUAUUGGCAGUUUAUUCCCCCACCAACUGCUUUGCCUUUUUAGCUCUCUCUUUUUUUCUAAUGAUACUUGCCAGUUUUUAUGGCCUGAAGUUAUAUGUCUUUUUGUCUUCUAGGCUUCUUUUUUCAAGCUAGAGAUAUUGCCUGGCAAUAAAUUUGAACUCUGAUGCGCUCUAGAAUUCUACCAAGUGAGGAUAUUCUGUUCUCACUCUGCAGGCUGGCUAUAGUAGGGCAUAAUAGAUAUUACUGGAUGAGCUCUACUGUGUUUUGUGACUGCAUCUUGGAGGGUAUCUCCUGGAGGAUGCCUUUAAUAUUUUCAUUAGCAGCUGUAGUACCACAAAAUAAGAAAAGUCAAGCAGGACUCUGUUGGUGCUCCCUGGUAUUUGCAAGCCAGGCACAGAAAUGAGUUGUAACUUUGCAAAUGCUGCCUCAACGUGGUCUUUUUGAUGCCCUGCAGGCUGAAGUUCUCCACAAAUUUUUCAUGACCUGUAUAGUUGACCUAUAUUAAGUGUCUAUAUGUUAAACAGGUUGCACUAACUAGAAACAUAGAUGGAAAUGGCUUAGUAGUUAUUUAUUUAUACUGAGGUGUGUGCCUGUUGUCUGCAGUGAUGUAAGGGAGGACCAUUUCUGGAUUUUCCCCCUUUGCCCCUUCCGUGUUUGACCUAUGCCUUGGACUAUUUCAGUAAAACUUGAGCUGAUUCUGCUUUCGAAGAAAAGUAAAAUUGUUGUUACUGCUUUUCCAGGCGGGGAGAUACAUCCACAUACAUGUUGGUAUGCAAGACAGGUAACAGUAGAAAGAAAAGCAUGAGGGAGAAAAUACAGCAAGGUAUUCAAGCCCUUGACCAGUUGGGCAGUGAGUAGGAGUCUGGUGUGCUUUGCAUUUCAGUUGCUCUGAACUGAGGCAUACUUCUAGGCCCCAGCAUUGGGAAACAGCAUUACCAUGCCCCACUGGUAUUUAAACAUUGUCUUAUGAAUGGGUUUAUUUCUCCUUGCACAUCUGCCCCAUUGCAGUUAUUCAGUCCAGAAGAUAUUGCUUGAAAUCUAGGCUGAUGGUGAAAUUUGGUGAAUGACUGAGUUAAAAACAAAAAACAAAAAACAAAAAAAACCCUCUGAGUUUAAUGGAAUUGCACCUGCUCCCAGCAAGUAUGUAUUUGGCUUUUUAUGCUUUAGAAUGAGGUGCAAAGCCCGGCAGAAUGGCCUUGGGGAGUAGGUUUGGAGCAGGGCUCAAAACCCAAUAUCUGCUACUACAAACCCUACUGGUUACACCAACACUGCUGUCAGACAGUUCCCACUGCUCUGUCCUCAUUCAUAUAGACAGGACACAGAAUAUCACCUAAUUAAGGAAAAUUCCCCCUUUUUUUCCCAUGUCUGUGUUAUCAGUGUGUUUUUCACUUUAUAAAUAGAUUGUUUUCUGAAUUUCAUGAGAAAUGCAUUUGCAUGUGGCCUGUCACAUAGCACUGAGCUGAAUAUCUGAUAUCAAUAUAUUGCUCCUGGAAGCUUAUUUUAAUGAAAAAGUGAGCUGGGGUGAGGAGGAAAAGUAAAGAAAAAACAAUCUGCUAUCAUUUUGAAUUGUUCAUGCUUUCAGGAAUUGCUCUCAUGUCUCACUUUAAGGACGGGUUUCUAGGCAGUUGAAAAUGUGUGCUUUACCAGCAUGUGGGCAAAGUGUUUGUCCAGGUAUGUAUGUAAUUACCUUAACUAGUGGCCAUGGUUUGUCUAACUGAAUAGACAGCCUGUACCUUAACCAGGCUGUUGUUAAUAAAGGUUUUUACACGUGCACUUGUUAUAAUUGAGGAGUCAACAGUGAACAUCCGGAGUUGAGGGGAAAGUGCUUGCUCGCCUUAUUGUUCGGCUUCCUCUGCAGUAAAACGACUCCAACCUCUUCUUUAAGGCUUUUGAGAGCUAUUAUGGAAAAUAUGACAGAAAGGUGAAAAAAAGCAGUGUGGCUCUAGAAAACAUUUUGUGCAUUGUAUUUGAAUUGUAGAAUAAUUUAGGUUAACUGACCUCUUGAGGAUCCCCUGCUCAAAGCAGCAGCCAGAUUUGGAGUUCUCUCAGGUUGCUCCAGGCUUGGUCGAGUUGAGUUUUCAGGAUCUCCAAGGACGGAGAUGCUCUGGGCCCUGUCCCAGGACUGAACCACCCUUAGGGUGAUAUAUUUUGCCUGCUACCUAAUAGGAAAUUCCUGUAUUCCAGCUAGCGCCCAUCACUCCUUAUGCUGAAUGUGUUUGAGAAGAGUCUGACUCUGUAUUUAUUUGCUGCAUUAGGUAGUGGCAGACAGCAAUAAGGUCUCCCUUUUGCCUUCCCUUCUCUAAGCUGAACCAGCCCAGUUUCCCUCCAGCAUGUUGACUGCUUCCUGCCAGUUCUCUGUAGACUGCAAACUGGCUGAGAGUACACUCCAUCCCAUCUUCCAGGUCGUCAGUGAAGACUUAGGCAGUAUUGACCCGUGAGACACACCAUUAGUAAUCAGCUUCCAGUUAGCCUGAGGAUUGUAGAUACUGGUUAUGGUUUUUUUGUGUGAUUAUUUGUGGGUUUUGCAUGAUUAUUUGGCUUUUUCAUGUGAUUAUUUGUCUUCAUGCUUUUAUUUCAUGAUCAAUUUUGUGCGUAUGUGUCUCAUAUUUUCCAUUUUAUUAUAUGAAGCAUACUGUGAGUGAUUUAAAACAAUGAAGAAUAAAAAACUGAAGGUGUCUGUCUUUCUGUACUAUUAAUAA